GUAAGAUGGAAACAUGAAGGACAAAACUGUGAAACACUCGUAGGAUAAGGCCAUGGCUCAUGGCCGGCGGUUCCUGGCUCAUGGCCGGCGGCGGUUGCUGGCUCUUCCACAAUCCUCUGCAUUGCUAGCGGCCUCUGGCGUCCUAGAAGCAGAGAGAGGAGGAGCUGCGUGAGAGAGAGAGAGAGAGAAGGGAGAGAGACCGGGGAGGGAGAGGGCGCGGUGGUGGAGCCUGGUGCGGCGAACUGGCGGCGGCGAGCUGUGGGGGCGGUUGAGGGCGCCCAGAUCCGGUCGGUGGAGGCAGUUGGCGGAGCUCCGGCCGGCGGGGCUCCUUGGAUGCGGUGGCGACAACAGUUGACCUGCAGGGUGUCUCGGUUAGGAGAGAAAAGAGAAGGGAGGAGGAAGGAGAUGGUAGGCGGGACAGCGGUGGUCGCCGGCGGCAAGGUCCCCGGAGCGCCGCGGGGGUUGGGCAGCUCGGCCUCUCCCGAUCCAUACGGGAUCGAGGCAGGCGGCGCGCUGCAGUUGUCCACAGCCAGGGCCGGGGGUUGAUUGCGUUUUUUUAUUUAGAUCUAGGGGUGUUUACGUCAAUUUUUGCCAAGUCAGCAUCUUACAAUCAGAGCCCACCUGUCAGGAAAGUGCUUAAAUGGGCUAAAUCCCCCUGAUCAGUGUUUUCUGAAAAAAGAUUACUGAAUGUGCGGCGGCUUUUGCAAAAAAUUAGGGGCUGGGUAUUUUUUCGCAAACUUAACAUCAAAUGUGGUGUUCUUUUGCUUUUAACUCCCUUGGACGCAUAAGUUUAGGCCUUACCAGUGUGCAGUUGCCUGACGACAACUCCAAAAAAAUAAGGAAUAGAUAUGUACUCCCUCCGUCCCAUAAUAUAAGAGGUUUUUUUGAUACAGGAAGUAGAAUGCAGUAGUUUCGGAGGAUGGGCAGGCUACGUUUUGGCAUUUGGUGGAUUAUUAUGAUAAUGCCGUCUGUAAGACAAUCUUUUGUCUGUAUUACGGUUUGGCAGCCAACCUUAACAAUGUUUCCACACCUACCUUCUCAUUGCAGAUUAUACAAAGCCGGGCCUAACAAGUUUGUCGACGCUCAACAUUUCCAGUCGCUCGCUGCCACCAAGCUCCACUGGCUUGCUCGACGCGCAUCAACCAAAUCUAGAAGCACAACCAAGUCCGUCAUCAGGUGCCCCUCCUAGAGACGCUUCUCAUCAGCAACAACCUGAGACGUCCGUCCGUCCGAGGGUCCAUCUCGGGCUGCCGAGCGCACUGCAUCCCGUGUGACAACGAUGAAGCAACAGAUCGGCCAUGCUAGGGAGAAAACGACGGUCACGCGCCGUGUCCGGAGAAGAUCGCUUUCGGCCUUGCCAUCGAUCUAUCUAAUCUACCUAACGGCGGUGUGAACUGGAGAUAAGCCUAACCUAGAGAGAAAGAGAGCUUCCUCCCAGGUGAUGGAUAAAGCAACGGCAACCGAAGAUGACGCCCUCUGCCAACUGCUGAAAGAUGUUAGUGCUUCGGGUUAAGGGUUGGUAGAAGAUCAUGCGCAAUUAGCUAUGCAUUGUUCAAUUAAAUUAAAUUGGAACAAGAUGAUGCACAAUCUGACAGAUCGAAAGGAUGAACUCAUUGUGUGUAUAGCUGAUUCAUCGAAUUCAUAUUGUCCGAUUA